AAAAUUACGAAAGCGCUGGAGUGGUUUUCAUAAAAAUGGUUUUCGUCAGCAAUAAGAAAUCGCUCAUGGCCUAUAACAUAAGAAAAAUUGGCUCCAAUUUCUUGUGGAUUCUCAAUCAUCGUCUGGUACAUUACAAAACUUGGAUCCAAUUUAAGUGUAUGGUUAUUCAAGCAUUGCUCAUACUUGUGUAUUAGUGAUCUGGUACCUUCAUCAUCAUGAUGAUAAUCCUUACAUUUAGUUGCAUAUGGUGGCUUAAGUAGAUUGUCUAUUACCCUGAUAUAACUGAUCAAAAAUAAACUUGGGGUUUCUCUCGGUUUGACGACUGCGUAAGAUUGUAAAGGUCCACGCGGUAAAUAUCUCGGCGAGUGGAUGUAAACAAAGACGUGAUCCCAUGACUUGAAGAUUUCAUCAUAUAAGUCUACAUGGUACAUUGCACCAGGAUUUGGUGCGUGUAUCAAGCUACUUUUAUUGAAUCGUAUGAAAUUCACUGAAUUGGUAGCAUUACGACAGGCAACAUGAUAACAAACAUGAGGAUCUUUGAGAUAAGUCCUAGUUGUACAAAAUAUCUCGUGAUUUCGUUGUAAACCGUUGAAAUUUCCUGUUUUAUUGUAAAUUAUGAUAUCCUCGAAUAGUGAUUCUGCUUUGAUUACAAGCUUGUAAAACCUAGCAACAGUAAAAUGUUUCUCGACAAAUCCUUCGAAAUCGGCUGCUCCCAUAUCGGUGAAACAUUCACGAAUAUGUUUUGGCUUGUUUUCCUGCACAUCGUCUAUGAUCGAACAAUUGUCUGGCAACAAAUUUGGAUGAUGAAUUGCCCAAGCAGUCCAGUUGACGGCAUCUAUAAACUGUAUACACAUUGUUACAUCUGGAGCGGUAAACCUAUCGGGAAAAUCAAUAUCGAGCAAUGUGAUAACAUUGUAUUCAAGAUAAUCCAUUGUUGUGAAGUAUAAUUGAUAUGAACAUGCAAUUAUACAGAAAAUUGUGAAUAGCUUUUUCAAUAAAAACAUUUUUCAUCAAAU